rnacentral:lncRNA from 1 species
UCCUAGUAAACUUGGAUCACUAUGGAUCUUUCUGUUUUUUCCUUCUUUUAUAAAAAAUGAAAGAAAAAGAAACACAUGUUUUAGGUGUAAUUUUUCUACACUAACAUAAAUAUAGAUAAUAUUUGUUAAUGGUUAUGCUUACACUAUGGAAGAAUUAGAAAAAUGUUGAAGUCACCCUUUAUUCACACACACACACACGUGUGUGUGUCUAUAUAUAUAUAUAUAUAUAUAGGUUGACUAAUUUAAAUUAAGGAAGUUAUUAUAUUAUUAAUCUUUUAGGUGUAAUAAAGAAAGAGAAGGAGAUCAAUACCAAAGCUUCAAAUAUUAUCUAUAUAUAUGUUAGUGUAAUACAUAUCAGUCACAACUGAUAUUAGUGAAAAACAACAAACACAAUGUAUUUGUAGUAUAUAUGGUAACCAAGUUUACAUAAGCUUGCACAUAUAUAAAUUACUAUAGAUAAAUAGCUCAUCUCAUGUAUGCUAUAUAGUCCAGCAUGCAUUCAUCACAUAAGCUCAAGUAUUCCUCAUUUGUUGUAUAACAAUUUCUAUUGACAAAUCAAUUAUGCGGCGGGAGCUAGAUCGAUACCACCAUCAUCGUCAUCGUCAUCAUCAUCGUCAGCUUCAUUCUGGAUGCGAAAUCCAGUUUCUACCCAGUCAUUGCUCAAGACAAACAAAGGCAAACCUGAUUUUGUGCAAGUUAAAACAACCAUUGUGUAUUCUAAGGUGAGUAUUCUAAUACAAAUUACACUAGUUGUGAACUGCUGUGUGGUUGACUUAACUCCCCCAACCCUACUUAUUUAUACCCAUAAAAUAUUCUGUUUUAAUAUUAUAAAAAAAUAAAUUUGAAAGAAAGAAUAUUAUAAAUUUAUAUUCUUUGAAUUUACAGUUUUUUUAUUAAUAUUUAUGAACCAGAUGAGAGAGAAAAUGGAUAUUUUUUUGGUUUUCUUUUGAUUUUUACCUUAUAGAUUAGUAUAAAAAAAUUGGGUGCUUCUAAUAUAAACCUAUAAAAAGGAUUUAAAUUUGAACUCUUGCCUUUUAUAGAAAAUUAUAAUAAAAUAUUACAUCUCUUCCUUUUUGUUAUUAAUAUUAUUAUUAUUAUUAUUAUUAUUAGCAGAAAGACGAACUCAUUUGUCCGUCUUUCCGCUCUUUUUAUUACGCUAAUGCGUGUUGAUUAUCAACGAUAUUUUAUAGAAAUUUUGCGUGUAAAUUACAAACAAUAUUUAUAGAAUUUUUUUCCUGAAAUAUUAUAAGUAUAAAUAUUUGUGACUUUCAAAUGUAACAAAUUCAACAAACCAUAUUUAUUUUUUCAAUGACAAAAAUAAUAUAAUAAAUCUAACAAAAAUUCCUAUCUUUGUUAAUUACACCAACAUUGUAACAUUAUUAAAGGAAAAUUUAUUUAAGGGUAUAAUUAAAAUAAUAAAAAAUUCAGCUCGAAAUCCCGCCAAAAUAUCCUAUUUUCUUUAUGUAUAGUUUAGAUUAUUAUUAACUUUUUUUUACUAAAAAUUGUAAUUCCACCUUUAAAUUUUUCGAGAGGUAUAUAUUAGACAGACCUAAAAUAAUUGAAAAAUGGAAUUAUUCAUUAGUAACCAAAAUUGUAAGAUAAUAUUAAAAUAAUUUAUCAUCAAUAUAAUUGUAAUAUCUUUUAUUUUUUAUUUUAAUGUAUAUUACGUUUAAUAUUGAUUCCAUACAUAUUCUAUAAAACUUGCACAUGCAAGAAUUGUUUCAAAUUAUGAUUGAAACAAUUUUUGACUAGACUAUAUUUUCGAACAAACUCCGAAGCAUAUAUUAGGGUCUUCUUCCUAGACAAUCCAAUAAAAAAAUAAACAACCAGUUCUUUAGGAUUUGAUUAUUAUAACUUUGUUUUGCUUCUUUAAGCACUUCUUGUGUUAGGGAGUAGAAUUGUUUCUCUUGUGUUUAUAUAUCUCAUUUUGGCUUGUUUAAAAAAAUAAAAAUAAACGCAUGUAUAUGAAUAAUACAUUUAUGAUGUAUAUACUAUUUACUUACAAAAUCUAGAAUUACAGCCCAUUAAUUAUAGUUUCAUAUAUUAAGCUAUAUAUUUUUCAAUAAAUAUAGAUUGUUAAUUCUCAAUUUCAGAUAUGCAAACCUAGUUGGGAUCGUUGAAUCUAUUGUGAUACUUUUGUACACCAAUUUGCUUUUAAAAUCAAUUCUUGAUGCUUACAAAAGAGGG